rnacentral:tRNA from 1 species
UCCUCCGUGGCGCAAUUGGCUAGCGCGUCUGACUGUUAAGGCACGGCCUUCUGUGGGUCUUGCAGCAAUCAGGAGGUUGACAGUUCAAGCCUGUCCGGGGGAG